rnacentral:rRNA from 1 species
GAUGAACGCUGGCGGCGUGCCUAAUACAUGCAAGUCGAGCGAACGGACGAGAAGCUUGCUUCUCUGAUGUUAGCGGCGGACGGGUGAGUAACACGUGGAUAACCUACCUAUAAGACUGGGAUAACUUCGGGAAACCGGAGCUAAUACCGGAUAAUAUUUUGAACCGCAUGGUUCAAAAGUGAAAGACGGUCUUGCUGUCACUUAUAGAUGGAUCCGCGCUGCAUUAGCUAGUUGGUAAGGUAACGGCUUACCAAGGCAACGAUGCAUAGCCGACCUGAGAGAGGGAUUGGCCACACUGGAACUGAGACACGGUCCAGACUCCUACGGGAGGCAGCAGUAGGGAACCUUCCGCAAUGGGCGAAAGCCUGACGGAGCAACGCCGCGUGAGUGAUGAAGGUCUUCGGAUCGUAAAACUCUGUUAUUAGGGAAGAACAUAUGUGUAAGUAACUGUGCACAUCUUGACGGUACCUAAUCAGAAAGCCACGGCUAACUACGUG